rnacentral:rRNA from 1 species
UGAAUAUGGGGGGACCAUCCUCCAAGGCUAAAUACUCCUGACUGACCGAUAGUGAACCAGUACCGUGAGGGAAAGGCGAAAAGAACCCCGGCGAGGGGAGUGAAAAAGAACCUGAAACCGUGUACGUACAAGCAGUGGGAGCCUCUUUUAUGGGGUGACUGCGUACCUUUUGUAUAAUGGGUCAGCGACUUAUAUUCUGUAGCAAGGUUAACCGAAUAGGGGAGCCGAAGGGAAACCGAGUCUUAACUGGGCGUUAAGUUGCAGGGUAUAGACCCGAAACCCGGUGAUCUAGCCAUGGGCAGGUUGAAGGUUGGGUAACACUAACUGGAGGACCGAACCGACUAAUGUUGAAAAAUUAGCGGAUGACUUGUGGCUGGGGGUGAAAGGCCAAUCAAACCGGGAGAUAGCUGGUUCUCCCCGAAAGCUAUUUAGGUAGCGCCUCGUGAAUUCAUCUCCGGGGGUAGAGCACUGUUUCGGCAAGGGGGUCAUCCCGACUUACCAACCCGAUGCAAACUGCGAAUACCGGAGAAUGUUAUCACGGGAGACACACGGCGGGUGCUAACGUCCGUCGUGAAGAGGGAAACAACCCAGACCGCCAGCUAAGGUCCCAAAGUCAUGGUUAAGUGGGAAACGAUGUGGGAAGGCCCAGACAGCCAGGAUGUUGGCUUAGAAGCAGCCAUCAUUUAAAGAAAGCGUAAUAGCUCACUGGUCGAGUCGGCCUGCGCGGAAGAUGUAACGGGGCUAAACCAUGCACCGAAGCUGCGGCAGCGACACUAUGUGUUGUUGGGUAGGGGAGCGUUCUGUAAGCCUGUGAAGGUGUACUGUGAGG